rnacentral:rRNA from 1 species
UUGAGCGCUGGCGGAAUGCUUUACACAUGCAAGUCGAACGGCAGCACGGGGGCAACCCUGGUGGCGAGUGGCGAACGGGUGAGUAAUACCUAGGAACAUGUCCAGUAGUGGGGGAUAACGCAGCGAAAGCUGUGCUAAUACCGCAUACGCCCUAUGGGGGAAAGCGGGGGACCGUAAGGCCUCGCGCGAUUGGAGCGGCCGAUGUCGGAUUAGCUAGUUGGUGGGGUAAAGGCCUACCAAGGCGACGAUCCGUAGCGGGUCUGAGAGGAUGAUCCGCCACACUGGGACUGAGACACGGCCCAGACUCCUACGGGAGGCAGCAGUGGGGAAUUUUGGACAAUGGGGGCAACCCUGAUCCAGCCAUGCCGCGUGAGUGAAGAAGGCCUUCGGGUUGUAAAGCUCUUUCAGACGGAAAGAAAACGCAUCGGUGAAUACCCGGUGUGGAUGACGGUACCGUAAGAAGAAGCACCGGCUAACUACGU